rnacentral:tRNA from 1 species
UCAGGUGGGUUAGAGCGCACCCCUGAUAAGGGGUGAGGUCGGAGGUUCAAGUCCUCCCCAGACCCACCAU